UUGAAUUUGCAUUUUUGUCGCAUUAAAUCGAACUUCAAUUUGUUUGGACAAUAAUAGAUACGUAAAAUACUAAUACUCCUGACUAUUCAAUGAUAAUUUCAUACAAAUAAUAGCAGAAGAGAGGUAAAAAAGAGAAAACAGACCUGCGACUGAAUAUGGAGAGCCGAGGAAACAAAAAGGUCACGUAUUGCACCGUUGACCAUAGGAGGCGGCUCAUUGGAUGGUAGCAUGAUGUGGAGAAGGCCGAGAAAUAUCCAUCUCCCGCAACUUCCAGAACCACUAGAUUGUCCGGUUGAGUUAUCUCCACCGCCGGUAGAGCAACGUACAUGAUUCCAGCGAUGCGAUGUAUCUGAAUACUCCUUGUGCGAUCUGCAACUUCGCAUAAACUCCAUGAAUCAUACCAUAAUGGAGUCGCUGUCAUGAACGAAGCCUGUAACUCACUCGUCUCGAAUCUGCACUCUUCCAUGACUGGAGUAGAGUUACUCGCGUGUUGUGUAGUUAAAAUUGACUAUUUAACG